GAUGAACGCUGGCGGCGUGCCUAAUACAUGCAAGUCGAGCGAACAGACGAGGAGCUUUCCCCUCUGACGUUAGCGGCGGACGGGUGAGUAACACGUGGAUAACCUACCUAUAAGACUGGGAUAAAUUCGGGAAACCGGAGCUAAUACCGGAUAAUAUAUUGAACCGCAUGGUUCAAUAGUGAAAGACGGUUUUGCUGUCACUUAUAGAUGGAUCCGCGCCGCAUUAGCUAGUUGGUAAGGUAACGGCUUACCAAGGCAACGAUGCGUAGCCGACCUGAGAGGGUGAUCAGCCACACUGGAACUGAGACACGGUCCAGACUCCUACGGGAGGCAGCAGUAGGGAAUCUUCCGCAAUGGGCGAAAGCCUGACGGAGCAACGCCGCGUGAGUGAUGAAGGUCUUCGGAUCGUAAAACUCUGUUAUUAGGGAAGAACAAAUGUGUAAGUAACUAUGCACGUCUUGACGGUACCUAAACAGAAAGCCACGGCUAACUACGUG
rnacentral:rRNA from 1 species